rnacentral:rRNA from 1 species
CCUACGGGAGGCAGCAGUGGGGGAUAUUGCACAAUGGGGGGAACCCUGAUGCAGCGACGCCGCGUGGGUGAAGGAGUGCUUCGGCAUGUAAAGCCCUAUCGGCAGGGAAGAAGCAAGACGGUACCUGACUAAGAAGCCCCGGCUAACUACGUGCCAGCAGCCGCGGUAAUACGUAGGGGGCGAGCGUUAUCCGGAUUCACUGGGUGUAAAGGGGGCGCAGACGGCGAUGCAAGCCAGGAGUGAAAGCCCGGGGCCCAACCCCGGGACUGCGCUUGGAACUGCGUGGCUGGAGUGCAGGAGGGGCAGGCGGAAUUCCUGGUGUAGCGGUGAAAUGCGUAGAUAUCAGGAGGAACACCGGUGGCGAAGGCGGUCUGCUGGACUGCAACUGACGUUGAGGCCCGAAAGCGUGGGGAGCAAACAGGAUUAGAUACCCCAGUAGUC